rnacentral:rRNA from 1 species
UACGGAGGGUGCAAGCGUUGCUCGGAAUUAUUGGGCGUAAAGGGCAAGUAGGUGGUCUCAUUUGUCAGGGGUGAAAGCCUUGGGCUUAACUCAAGAAGUGCCCCUGAAACGGUGAGACUCGAGUACUGGAGAGGGUCGUGGAAUUCCCGGUGUAGCGGUGAAAUGCGUAGAGAUCGGGAGGAACACCAGAGGCGAAGGCGGCGACCUGGACAGUCACUGACACUCAACUGCGAAAGCGUGGGGAGCAAACAGG